CUACGGGAGGCAGCAGUGGGGGAUAUUGCACAAUGGGGGAAACCCUGAUGCAGCAACGCCGCGUGAAGGAAGACGGUUUUCGGAUUGUAAACUUCUAUCAGCAGGGAAGAAAAUGACGGUACCUGACUAAGAAGCCCCGGCUAACUACGUGCCAGCAGCCGCGGUAAUACGUAGGGGGCAAGCGUUAUCCGGAAUUACUGGGUGUAAAGGGUACGUAGGCGGCUGAUCAAGUCAGAUGUGAAAGCCCGGAGCUCAACUCCGGGACUGCAUUUGAAACUGGUCGGCUAGAGUGCAGGAGAGGAAAGUGGAAUUCCUAGUGUAGCGGUGAAAUGCGUAGAUAUUAGGAAGAACACCAGUGGCGAAGGCGGCUUUCUGGACUGUAACUGACGCUGAGGUACGAAAGCGUGGGGAGCGAACAGGAUUAGAUACCCCUGUAGUC
rnacentral:rRNA from 1 species